UACGUAGGGGGCAAGCGUUGUCCGGAAUCAUUGGGCGUAAAGAGCGUGUAGGCGGUCCGGUCAGUCGGUUGUGAAAGUCAAGGGCUCAACCCUUGAAUGCCGGCCGAUACUGCCGGGCUAGAGCCCGGAAGAGGUGAGUGGAAUUCCUGGUGUAGCGGUGAAAUGCGCAGAUAUCGGGAGGAACACCUGAGGCGAAGGCGGGCUACUGGGCCGAUACUGACGCUGAUGCGCGAAAGCCAGGGGAGCGAACGGG
rnacentral:rRNA from 1 species